rnacentral:rRNA from 1 species
GACGAACGCUGGCGGCGUGCUUAACACAUGCAAGUCGAACGGAAAGGCCCUGCUUUUGUGGGGUGCUCGAGUGGCGAACGGGUGAGUAACACGUGAGUAACCUGCCCUUGACUUUGGGAUAACUUCAGGAAACUGGGGCUAAUACCGGAUAGGAGCUCCUGCAGCAUGGUGGUGGUUGGAAAGUUUCGGCUGUUGGGGAUGGACUCGCGGGUUAUCAGCUUGUUGGUGGGGUAGUGGCUUACCAAGGCUUUGACGGGUAGCCGGCCUGGGAGGGUGACCGGCCACCUUGGGACUGAGAUACGGACCAGAAUCCUACGGGAGGCAGCAGUGGGGAAUAUUGCACAAUGGGGGGAAGCCUGAUGCAGCAACGCCGCGUGCGGGAUGACGGCUUUCGGGUUGUAAACCACUUUCGCCUGUGACGAGGCGUGAGUGACGGUAAUGGGUAAAGAAGCACCGGCUAACUACGUG